AUUGCUGUGUCAUCCUGAAGUUUUCUCGUCCGAUCACCGAAGUUAAGCAAUGUCGGGCCCGGUCAGUACUUGGGAGGGUGACCACCUGGAGACACCUGGUACUGUAGGCU